rnacentral:lncRNA from 1 species
GCCUAAGGAUAUUUAGAAAGCAAAGCUUGGAUAGAGGUUGUUCCCUACAAUGUUUAUAUUUUGCAGAAAAAAUUGAAAAUUUCAAGAUUUGCUGCUGUCCCUCACAUGCAAUUCUCAGAUACUACGAAAUUAUUUAUGAUGAAAAAUAAAAGAAGAAAGAUAAAAUGAACUUUUAGAAUUUGAGGUGGAGGCUAUUCACCUUGGAAUUUACAGACUGGAGCAUGCCUUGAGAAGAAACAUUUUUAUGGCCUUUGAAAUUUAUGAUCUACUGGUACAUUGAAAAUAAUUGGCCGUGAGAAUUCACAGGAAGCUACUUGUAUAGCACCCACUGGGUGAGCUCAUUUUAUUCAAGCCAUAAAUUUCAUUGAAAAAAUUACUGAAAGCUGAUGAAAAGCCUCACCUUCUGAAAGAAAAGCAAAACCAAACAACACAAAAUUCUCCUGGAAAAUCUGAUGAUCCCAGAGAAAGAAAUCGCUGUUGGAGCUCAAGGACCACAGGGCACAGAACCGAUGUUCCCAAAAGACAUAUCCACUUUUCUAGAUAGAUCCAUGGACACUGAUGUUUUUGCUGACCAAUCAGGAAAGUGUGAACCUUGUGUACGAACUAAUGGGUCAAUUUUGUUCAUAAAAGGCCACAGAAGCACCAUUUCUCCUUUAUUGACAGUCGUAUUCUGGUCUUUGUUAUCGUUUACAUAUGCAUCACCUAAAGUGGAUUCUGGCCAGAAUGAACAACUGGGAAAACGUGAAAGUGGCCAAAAAUAUUUUACAGACUAGGAUCUCACAGCAUCUUUUGUGAGCUCCUUAUGAUUGGCAAGAGUUCAGACUUACUGGUCUCUGAACCUCAGCUGGCUCCUGUC